CAGUCGCCACGGUAAAACAGAGGGUGCGAGCGUUAAUCGGAUUUACUGGGCGUAAAGCGUGCGUAGGCGGCUUUUUAAGUCGGAUGUGAAAUCCCUGAGCUUAACUUAGGAAUUGCAUUCUAUACUGGGAAGCUAGAGUAUGGGAGAGGAUGGUAGAAUUCCAGGUGUAGCGGUGAAAUGCGUAGAGAUCUGGAGGAAUACCGAUGGCGAAGGCAGCCAUCUGGCCUAAUACUGACGCUGAGGUACGAAAGCAUGGGGAGCAAACAGGAUUAGAUACCCCCGUAGUCCCUGUCUCUUAUAC
rnacentral:rRNA from 1 species